UUCCCGUGAUGAUUCACAUCCCAUGACUUUCGUUCUUCUGAGUCUGCUGAAGCCAAACGUCUGUUCUGAGAGGA
ensembl:snoRNA